UACGGAGGGGGCUAGCGUUGUUCGGAAUUACUGGGCGUAAAGCGCGCGUAGGCGGCUUUGUAAGUUAGAGGUGAAAGCCCAGGGCUCAACCCUGGAAUUGCCUUUAAGACUGCAUCGCUUGAACAUCGGAGAGGUAAGUGGAAUUCCGAGUGUAGAGGUGAAAUUCGUAGAUAUUCGGAAGAACACCAGUGGCGAAGGCGGCUCACUGGUCCGGUACUGACGCUGAGGUGCGAAAGCGUGGGGAGCAAAACAGG
rnacentral:rRNA from 1 species